rnacentral:lncRNA from 1 species
UUAUAAAAAUCUAAACCCUAAAUUCCUUAUCUCACUUCAGCCGCACCAACCAAAUCCUUUCCCUUAACUCACAGAACUUCACACCACCACAACAUCAUUUCGUACCACCCACACACUCGCCGGAAUCUUGCCAGAGACGUGAAGCUGCCGUCGGAAAACAUCGAGCGUUCACGUCACGUGUUCGUUCGAUACUCAAGCCUUGUAAUCGUCACCGUCACUCAACCAUAAUCCUUCUGUGUUCGUCUACCCCGCCUCCUCGCAAACCCGCAACGGAUAUCACCUCGCAACACGUCGGAGAACUCACAACACGCCGGAGAACUACCGCAACUCGUCCCUUCGCCGGGGCCGCACGGAAGUCAACGGGAACCGUCUUCAUCGUUUUGGUUAUUUCCUAUCGUCAUAUGAAGUUGUCCUCAUAUUCUUUUCGCGCGCUUAGUUCUAUAAGGAGUUACAAGCGCAACCACUCGUAAUCUCGAGACUUCAUCAAUCCCGCUCGCGGUUUAGCAUUAGCAUAUGCAAACUUUGUGGAUGUUGACGAUGCAUGGAAUCUAGUAGGAUGUUUAGAUACACACUUAGAAAGAAUUGUAUUUGUAUUGUAUCAUUUUAUUAUUCAUGUUGUUGUAUUUUGUUUCAAAACCUUGUACUUGAUUCUUUAGAAAUGAAAUGAAACGAUUAUUUAAAUACUUGUCACAAUUAUUAGCGUUAUGAUGUUUCGAGCAAU